GCGCUUGCUUUGGCAGCACAUAUACUUAAAUUGGAACAAUACAGAGAAGAUUAGCAUGACCUCUGUGCAAGAAUGAUACUCAAAUUCGUGAAGUAUUCCAUUUUUUU